rnacentral:rRNA from 1 species
UAGUGGUGGAAGAAAAAAUAAACAUGAUUCUUUUAGUAAUGGCGAAUGAACAAAGACAUGGUCAUUUUGAAAAUUGUGGUCUUAGAUCAUGAAUUGUAUUUUCAAAAUGCAUUGCUAACACAACUGCACAUGUUUGUUUAUUGGAAAGAACAUCACAAAGGGUGACAAUCCCAUGUGUCAUGUGUAUGUUUUGUGUACAGCGUGCAUUAUAUGAAUCACAUUCAUUGACAAUUGAAUGCAAAUAGAAUGGUAAAUUUCAUUUAAUCAUAAAUAUGUUGUUGACAACUUAUAGCAAACAAAUACCAUGAGGGAAAUGUGAAAAGGAUUUUGAAAAGAAAAUUAAAAGAGCUUGCAAUUGCUGAACUGAUAAGCAAACAAAACAUACGUGUGUAUGCAAGAUUGUUGUAAUGCUUAGCAUCCUAUGCAAGGCUAUUGCAAUGAUUUUUUGUAUAGUGAUGCUACCUUUUUUUAGAAUUUGGAAUGUCUUUUUUUGAGUGUGAAUGGAAUUUUGUUUGUUAGCAAAGGAAUGCACUUUUAGAUUCAUUGUUUGAUUUGAUUUAAAAAUGUUUGUGACACAUGUCUUUGUUUUAGUUUCAUGCUUCAACCAAGGACAUUGUGUUUGAUCCAUAUCAGCAAUACAUGUUUUGUUUGACCCGUCUUGAAACACGGACCAAGGAGUUUAAUUUAUGUGCAAGAUCAUGAAACUGACAUUUGUAUAUCAAUGAAAAUAUUUUGUUGGGAUUUGUGCACCAACAACUGAUAAGUUGUGUGACGCGACGUUGAGUUUGAGCAUGUUGAUUAAAACCCGAAAGAUGGUGAACUAUGCCUGAACAGAAUGAAGUCAGAGGAAACUC